UGUUCAGCCGCAUGAAGUUGAGCAAUAACAGGUCUGUGAUGCCCUUAGAUGUCCAGGGCUACACGCGCGCUACACUGGAGGAAUCAACGUGCUAUGUCCAUUGUCGAAAGGCAUUGGUAACCCGUUGAAAAUCCUCCGUGCUCGGGAUAGGGAAUUGCAAUUAUUUCCCUUGAACGAGGAAUCCCUAGUAAGUGUGAGUCAUCAGCUCACGCUGAUUACGUCCCUGCCCUUUGUACACACCGCCCGUCGCUGCCCGGGACUGAGCCGUUUCGAGAAAAGCGGAGACUGCUGUAUUGAAGCCGAAUAUUUGCGGUGGAAAUACUCUGGUGGAAAUCGCCUUAAUCGCAGUGGCUUGAACCGGGCAAAAGUCGUAACAAGGUUUCCGUAGGUGAACCUGCGGAAGGAUCAUUA
rnacentral:ncRNA from 1 species